rnacentral:lncRNA from 1 species
CUUGCUAUUGUAAGGAUGCCACAAUGGGUUAUGCCAGAUGAACCAGUUUUGGAUAUAAUACCAAAAAUUGAAACAUGGCACAUAGAUAAGUGAUAAGGGAUCCAGGAAUGAAUGAUUGACUUGAACAUAAUAUAAGUGAAAGUGAUUUAUUUACAGCAAACUAGUAAUUUACAAUAAUAAAAGAAUCUACAAUCUACAAGAAUAUAAGAGUUUACAUUAAGGAUAUAAGAAUUUGCUUAAGUCUACCUGAAUUAACUUAAACUAAUCCUGUUACAGUGAUUCAAGAAUACAAUAUUUGAGAUUUGAGUGUGUGUUGAGCCUUCCACAUACCUGGGAGUCAUUUGCCAGAGUAGCAUUGAUUAUCUGAUUCUAAUAAAAGGUCAAAAGUCCAUAAAUGUUCAUUCACACAGCACCAUACUUUGUCACUCUCCUCCAUUUAUCGUGUGUCACUGUCGUUGGCUAUCAUCGUCUCUGUGUCUCCAUCGGCCUUGCCGAUGGAGACACGGAGACGAGUCCAUCGGCAAGGCCGAUGGGACGAGUUGUCUCCUGUCGACCGGUACAUUGUUGCUUACAUUAUUGUUCUUUGCACAAGAUAACUUCUUUUGAUUUUCUCUCUGCCUCCUCUCUGUCUGAAUUUCCCUCUGACUGAACUCCCAAAGGAUGGGACUCACCAGUUUAUAUCACUUGGAUGAUGUUUUCUGAUAUUUUGUUAUAUGUUUUUGUUUUCUGAUAUAUGUUUUACUUCCAUUGUAAUAGUUUGAUUCUUACAUUAUUUUUAAUACAACCGAUUCCCAUCACAAUUUAUUUUAUAUUUACUUUAAAUACUGAAGUUGACA